rnacentral:rRNA from 1 species
AACGAACGCUGGCGGCAGGCUUAACACAUGCAAGUCGAGCGCCCCGCCAGGGGAGCGGCAGACGGGUGAGUAACGCGUGGGAACGUACCUUUUGGUUCGGAACAACUCCGGGAAACUGGAGCUAAUACCGGAUAAGCCCUAACGGGGAAAGAUUUAUCGCCGAAAGAUCGGCCCGCGUCUGAUUAGCUAGUUGGUGAGGUAACGGCUCACCAAGGCGACGAUCAGUAGCUGGUCUGAGAGGAUGAUCAGCCACACUGGGACUGAGACACGGCCCAGACUCCUACGGGAGGCAGCAGUGGGGAAUAUUGGACAAUGGGCGCAAGCCUGAUCCAGCCAUGACGCGUGAGUGAUGAAGGCCUUAGGGUUGUAAAGCUCUUUUGUCCGGGAAGAUAAUGACUGUACCGGAAGAAUAAGCCCCGGCUAACUUCGUG